rnacentral:lncRNA from 1 species
GCUUAUUUUUGGCACACGGAGGCGCCUCGCAAAGUCUUGCGCCAUUCCGAGUCCGGCGGACGAAGUGGGCCAGCCCCACCCCCCAAGGCCAUAGCCCACCCGUUUUUGUGGCCUUUUUCCGCUGGACGAACUUGGCGCCCCGGCCUUCGGGCGGUUAUUUUUGGGCGCGGCUUUACCCGCGGCCUAUUUUUGUUACACGGGGGCCCCUCGCAAAGUCUCGCGGCUUUCCGAGUCCGGCGGACGAAGCUGGCCAGCCCAACCCCCCAAGGCUAUAGCCCACCCGUUUUUGUGGCCUUUUUCCGAUGGACGAACUUGGCGCCCCGGCCUUCGGGCGGUUAUUUUUGGUCGCGGCUUUGCCCGCAGCCUAUUUUUGGCACAGGGAGGCCCCUCGUAAUGUCUCCCGGCAUUCCGAGUCCGGCGGACGAAGUUGGAGAGCCCCACACCCCAAGGCUAUAGCCCACCCGUUUUUGUGGACUUUUUCCGGUGGACGAACUUGGCGCCCCGGCCUUCGGGAGGUUAUUUUUGGGCGCGGCUGUGGCCACAGCUUAUUUUUGGCACACAGAGGGGCCUCGCAAAAUCUCACCCCAUUCCAAGUCCGGCGGACGAAGUCGGCCAGCCCCACCCCCGAAGGCUAUAGCCCACCCAUUUUUGCCGGCUUUUUUCGCUGGACGAACUUGGCGCCCCGGCCUUUGGGCGGUUAUUUUUGGGUACGGCUGUGCCUGCAGCCUAUUUUUGGCACACGGAGGCGCCUCGCAAAGUCUCGCGCCAUUCAGAGUCCGGCAGACAAAGUUGGCCAGCCCCACCCCCCAAGUCUAUAGCCCACCCGUUUUUAUGGGCUUGUUUUGCUGGACGACCUUGGCGCCCCGGCCUUCGGUCACUUAUUUUUGGGCGCGGCAGUGCCCACGGCCUAUUUUUGGCACACGGAGGCCCCUCGCAAAGUCUCGCGCCAUUCCGAGUCCGGCGGACGAACUUGGCCAGCCCCACCCCCCAAGGCUAUAGCGCACCCGUUUUUGUGUCCUUUUUCCGCUGGAUGAACUUGAUGCCCCGGCCUUCGGUCACUUAUUUUUGGGCGCGGCAGUGCCCACGGCCUAUUUUUGGCACACGGAGGCCCCUCGUAAAGUCUCACACCAUUCUGAGUCCGGCGGACGAACUUGGUCAGCCCCACCCCGCAAGGCUAUAGCGUACCCAUUUUUGUGGCCUUUUUCCACUGGACGAACUUGAUGCCCCGGCCUUCGGUCACUUAUUUUUGGGCACAGCAGUGCCCACGGCCUAUUUUUGGCACACGGAGGCCCCUCCCAAAGUCUCGCGCCAUUCCGAGUCCGGCGGACGAAGUUGGCCAACCCCACCCCCCAGGGCUAUAGCCCACCCAUUUUUGUGGCCUUUUUCCGCUGGACGAACUUGGCGCCCCGGCCUUCGGGCGGUUAUUUUUGGGCACGGCUGUGUCCACAGCCUAUAUUUGGCACACGGAGGUGCCUCACAAAGUUUCGCGCCAUUCCGAGUCCGGCGGACGAAGUUGGCCAGCCCCACCCCCCAAAGCUAUAGCCCACCCGUUUUUGUGGCCUUUUUCCUCUGGACGAACUUGGCGCCCCGGCCUUCGGGCGGUUAUUUUUGGGUGUGGCUGGGCCCGCGGCCUAUUUUUGGCACAUGGAGGCGCCUCGCAAAGUCUCGCGCCAUUCCGAGUCCGGCGGACGAAUUUGGCCAGCCCCACUCCCCAAGGCUAUAGCCCACCCGUUUUUGCGGCCUUCUUCCGCUGGACGAACUUGGCGCCCCGGCCUUCAGGCGGUUAUUUUUGGGCGCGGCUGUGCCCACGGCCUAUUUUUGGCACACGGAUGCCGCUCGCAAAAUCUCGCGCCAUUCCGAGUCCGGCGGACGAAGUUGGCCAGCCCCACCCCCCAAGGCUAUAGCCCACCCGUUUUUGUGGCCUUUUUCCGCUGGACGAACUUGGCGCCUCGGCCUUCGGGCGGUUAUUAUUGGGUACGGCUGUGCCCGCGGCCUAUUUUUGGCGCACGGAGGCGCCUCGCAAAGUCUCACGCCAUUCCGAGUCCGGCGGACGAUGUUGGCCAGCCCCACCCCCCAAGGUUAUAGCCCACCUGUUUUUGUGGCCUUUUUCUGCUGGACGAACUUGGCGCCCCGGCCUUCGGGCGGUUAUUUUUGGGCGCGGCUGUGCCAGCGGCCUACUUUUGGCACACGGAAGCCGCUCGCAAAGUCUCGCGCCAUUCUGAGUCCGGCAGUCGAAGUUGGCCGGGCCCACCCCCGAAGGCUAUAGCCCACCCGUUUUUGUGGCAUUCUUCCGCUGGACGAACUUGGCGCCCCGGCCUUCGGGCGGUUAUUUUUGGGCGGGGCUGUGCCCGCGGCCUAUUUUUGGCACACGGAGGCCGCUCACAAAGUCUAGCGCCAUUCCGAGUCCGGCGGACGAAUUUGGCCAGCCCUACCCCCCAAGGCUAUAGCCCACCCGUUUUUGUGGCCUUCUUCCGCUGGACGAACUUGCCGCCCCGGACUUCCGGUGGUUAUUUUUGGGCACGGCUGUGCCCGCGGCCUAUUUUUGGCACACGGAGGCCGCUCGCAAAGGUUCGCACCAUUCCAAGUCCGGCGGACAAAGUUGGCCAGCCCCACCCCCCAAGGCUAUAGCCCACCGGUUUUUGUGGCCUUCUUCCGCUGGACGAACUCGGCGCCCCGGCCUUCGGGCGGUUAUUUUUUGGUGCGGCUGUGCCCGCAGCCUAUUUUUGGAAAAUGGAGGCCGCUCGCAAAGUUUUGCGCCAUUCCGAGUCCCGCGGACGAAGUUGGCCAGCCUCACACCCCAAGGCUAUAGCCCACCCGUUUUUGUGGCCUUUUUCCGCUGGACGAACUUGGUGCCCCGGCCUUCGGGUGGUUAUUUUUGGGCGCGGCUCUGCCCGCGGCCUACUUUUGGCACACGGAGGUGCCUCACAAAGUCUCGAACCAUUCCGAGUCCGGCGGAUGAAGUGGGCCAGCCCCACCCCCCAAGGCCAUAGCCCACACGUUUUUGUGGCCUUUUUCCGCUGGACGAACAUGGCGCCCCGGCCUUCGGGCGGUUAUUUUUGGGUGCAGCUGUGCCCGCAGACUAUUUUUGGCACACAGAGGUGCCUCGCAAAGUCUCGCGCCAUUCCGAGUCCGGCGGACGAAGUGGGCCAGCCCCACCCCCCAGGGCCAUAGCCCACACGUUUUUGUGGCCUUUUUCCGCUGGACGAACAUGGUGCCCCGGCCUUCGGGGGGUUUUAUUUUUGGGUACGGCUGUGCCCGCAGCCUAUUUUUGGCACGCGGAGGCACCUCGCAAAGUCUCGCGCCAUUCCGAGUCCAGCGGACGAAGUUGGCCAGCCCCAACCCCCAAGGCUAUAGCCCACCCGUUUUUGUGGCCUUUUUCCGCUGGACGAACUUGGUACCCCGGCCUUCGGGCGGUUAUUUUAGGGUGCGGCUCUGCCCGCGGCCUAUUUUUGGCACACGGAGGCACCUCGCAAAGUCUCGCGCCUUUCCGAGUCCGGCGGACGAAGUGGGCUGCCCCGCCCGCUAAGGCUCUAGCCCACCCGUUUUUGUGCCCUUUUUCCGCUGGACGAAGUUGGCGCCCCGGCCUUCGGGCGGUUAUUUUUGGGCACGGCUGUACCCGCGGCCUAUUUUUGGCACACGGAGGUGCCUCCCAAGGUCUCGCGCCAUUCCGAGUUCGGCGGACGAAGUGAGACAGCCCCACCCCCCAAGGCUAUAGCCCACCCGUUUUUGUGGGCUUUUUCCGCUGGACGAACUUGGCGCCCCGGCCUUCGGGCGGUUAUUUUUGGACACGGCUGUACCCGCGGCCUAUUUUUGGCACACGGAGGUGCCUCCCAAGGUCUCGCGCCAUUCUGAGUCCAGCGGACGAAGUGGGACAGCCCCACCCCCCAAGGCUAUAGCCCACCCGUUUUUGUGGCCUUUUUCCGCUGGACGAACUUGGCGCCCCGGCCUUCGGGCGGCUAUUUUUUGGCGCGGCUGUGCCCGCGGCCUAUUUUUGGCACACGGAGGCAUCUCGCAAAGUCUCACGUCAUUCUGAGUCCGGCGGACGAACUUGGCCAGCCCCACCCCCGAAGGCUAUAGCCCACCCGUUUUUUUGGCCUUUUUCCGCUGGGGGGUUUUGGCGCCGCGGCCUUCGGUCACUUAUUUUUGGGCGAAGCUUUUCCCGCGGCCUAUUUUUGGCACACGGAGGCCCCUCGCAAAGUCUCGCGCCAUUCCGAUUACGGCGGAUGAACUUGGCCAGCCCCACCCCCCAAGGCUAUACCCCACCCGAUUUUUAGGCCUUUUUCCGCUGGGGGGUUUUGACGCCCCGGCCUUUGGCUGCUUAUUUUUGGGUGCGGCUGUGCCCGCAGCCUAUUUUUGGGACACGGCGGCCCCUCACAAAGUCUCGCGCCAUUCCGAGUCCGGCGGACGAACUUGGCCAGCGCAGCCCCCCAAGGCUUUAACCCACCCGUUUUUCUGGCCUUUUUCCGCAGGGGGGUUCGGCGCCCCGGCCUUCGGUCGCUUAUUUUUGGACUCGGCUGUGCCCGCGGCCUAUUUUUGGCACACGGAGGCCCCUCGCAAAGUCUCGCGCCAUUCUGAGUCCGGCGGACGAACCUGGCCAGCCCCACCCCCCAAGGCUAAAGCCCACCCGUUUUUGUGGCCUUUUUCCGCUGGACGAACUUCGCUUCCCGGCCUUUGGUCGCUUAUUUUUGGGUGCGGCUGUGUCCGCGGCCUAUUUUUGGCACACGGAGGCCCCUCGUAAAGUCUCGCGCCAUUCCGAGUCCGGCGGACGAACUUGGCCAGCCCCACCCCCAAAGGCUAUAGACCACCCGUUUUUGUGGCCUUUUUCCGCUGGGGAGUUUUGGCGCCCCGGCCUUCGGUCGCUUAUUUUUAGGCGCGGCUGUGUCCGCGGCAUAUUUUUGGCACAUGGAGGCCCGUCGCAAAGUAUCGCGCCAUUCCGAGUCCGGCGGACGAUCUUGGCCAGCCCCACCCCCCAAGGCUACAGCCCACCCGUUUUUGUGGCUUUUUUCCGUUGGACGAACUUGGCGCCCCGGCCUUCGGUCGUUUAUUUUUGGGCACGGCUGUGCCCGCGGCCUAUUUUUGGCACACAGAGUCCCCUACCAAAGUCUCACGCCAUUCCGAGUCCGGCGGACGAACUUGGCCAGCCCCACCCCCCAAGGAUAUAGCCCACCCGUUUUUUUGGCCUUUUUCCGCUGGGGGGUUUUGACUUCCCGGCCUUCGGUCGCUUAUUUUUGGGCGCGGCUGUGCCCGCGCCUUAUUUUAGGUACACGGAGGCCCCUCGUAAAGUCUCGCGAUAUUCUGAGUCCGACGGAUGAACAUGGCCAGCCCCACCCCCUAAGGCUAUAGCCGACCCGUUUUUGCCGCCUUUUUCCGUUGGACGAACUAGGCGCCCCGGCCUUUGGGCAGUUAUUUUUGGGCGCGGCUUUGCCCGCGGCCUAUUUUUGGCACACGGAAGCCCCUCGCAAAGUUUUGCGGCAUUCCAAGUCCGGCGGACGAAGUUGGCUAGCCCCACCCCCCAAGGCUAUAGCCCACCCGCUUUUGUGGACUUUUUCCGCUGGACGAACUUGGCGCCCCGGGCUUCGGGCGGUUAUUUUUGGGUGUGGCUUUGCCCGCAGCCUAUUUUUGGCACACGGAGGCCCCUCGCAAAGUCUCGCGGCAUUCCGUGUCCGGCGGACGAAGUUGGCCAGCCCCACCCCCCAAGGCUAUAGCCCACCCGUUUUUGUGGCCUUUUUCCGCUGGGAAAACUUGGCGCCCCGGCCUUCGGGCGGUUAUUUUUGGGCGAGGCUUUGCCCGCGGCCUAUUUUUGGCAUACAGAGGCCCCACGCAAAGUCUCGCGGCAUUCCGAGUCCGGCGGACGAAGUUGGCCAGCCCCACCCCCCAAGGCUAUAGCCCCCCCGCUUUUGUGGCCUUUUUCCGCUGGACGAACUUGGCGCCCCGGCCUUUGGGCGGUUAUUCUUGGGCGCGGCUUUGCCCAUGGCCUAUUUUUGGCACACGGAGGCCCCUCUCAAAGUCUCACGGCAUUCCGAGUCGGGCGGACGAACUGGGCCAGCCCCACCCCCCGAGGGUGUAGCCCACCCGUUUUUGUGGCCUUUUUCCGCUGGACGAACUUGGCGCCCCGGCCUUCGGGCUGUUAUUUUUGGGCGCGGCUUUGCCAGCGGCCUAUUUUUGGCACACGGAGGCCCCUCGCAAAGUCUGGCGGCAUUCCGAGUCCGGCGGACGAAGUGGGCCAGCCCCACCCCCCAAGGCUAUAGCCCAACCGUUUUUGUGGCCUUUUUCCACUGGUCGAACUUGGCGCCCCGGCCUUCGGGCUGUUAUUUUUCGGGAGGGCUUUGCCCGCGGCCUAUUUUUGGCACACGGAGGCCCCUCGUAAAGUCUCGCGGCAUUCCGAGUCCGGCGGACGAAGUUGGCCAGCCCCACCCCCCAAGGCUAUAGCCCACCCGUUUUUGUGGCCUUUUUCCGCUGGACGAACUUGGCGCCCCGGCCUUCGGGCUGUUAUUUUUAGGCGUGUCUUUGCCCGCGGCCUAUUUUUGGCACACGGAGGCCCCUCGCAAAGUCUCGCGGCAUUCCGAGUCCGGCGGACGAAGUGGACCAGCCCCACCCCCCAAGGCUAUGGCCCACCCGUUUUUGUGGCCUUUUUCCGCUGGAUGAACUUGGCGCCCCGGGCUUCGGGUGGUUAUUUUUGGGCGUGGCUUUGUCCGCAGCCUAUUUUUGGCACACGGAGGCCCCUCGCAAAGUCUCGCGGCAUUCCGAGUCCGGCGGACGAAGUUGGCCAGCCCCACCCCCCAAGGCUAUAGCCCACCCGUUUUUGUGGCCUUUUUCCGCUGGACGAACUUGGCGCCCCGGCCUUCGGGCGGUUAUUUUUGGGCACGGCUUAGCCCGCGGCCUAUUUUUGGCACAUGGAGGCCCCUCGCAAUGUCUCGCGGCAUUCCGAGUCCGGCGGACGAACUUGGCGCCCCGUCCUUCGGGCGGUUAUUUUUUGGCGCGGCUUUGUCCGCGGCCUAUUUUUGGCACAUGGAGGCCCCUCGCAAAGUCUCGUGGCAUUCCGAGUCCGGUGGAUGAAGUUGGCCAGCCCCACCCCCCAAGGCUAUAGCCCACCCGUUUUUGUGGCCUUUUUCCGCUGGUCGAACUUGGCGCCCCGGCCUUCGGGCGGUUAUUUUUGGGCGCGGCUGUGCCCGCGGCCUAUUUUUGGCACACGGAAGUGCGUCGCAAUGUCUCGCGCCAUUCCGAGUUCGGCGGACGAAGUUGGCCAGCCCCACCCCCCAAGGCUAUAGCCCACCCGUUUUUGUGGCCUUUUUCCGCUGGACGAACUUGGCGCCCCGGCCUUCGGGCGGUUAUUUUUGGACGCCUCUGUGCCCGCGGCCUCUUUUUGGCAAACGGAGGUGCCUCGCAAAGUCUCGCGCCAUUCCAAGUCCGGCGGACGAAGUUGGCCAGCCCCACCCCCCAAGGCUAUAGCCCACCCAGUUUUGUGGCCUUUUUCCGCUGGACGAAUUUGGCGCCCCGGCCAUCAGGCGGUUAUUUUUGGGCGCGGCUGUGCCCGCGGCCUAUUUUUGGCACACGGAGGUGCGUCGCAAAGUCUCGCGCCAUUCCGAGUUCGGCGGACGAAGUUGGCCAGCCCCACCCCCCAAGGCUAUAGCCCACCCGUUUUUGUGGCCUUUUUCCGCAGGACGAACUUGGCGCCCCGGCCUUCGGGUGGUUAUUUUUUGGCGCCUCUGUGCCCGCGGCCUAUUUAUGGCAAACGGAGGUGCCUCGCAAAGUCUCGCGACAUUCCGAGUCCGGCGGACGAAGUUGGCCAGCCCCACCCCCCAAGGUUAUAGCCCACCCGAUUUUGUGGCCUUUUUCCGCUGGACGAAUUUGGCGCCCCGGCCAUCAGGCGGUUAUUUUUGGGCGCGGCUGUGCCCACGGCCUAUUUUUGGCACACGGAGUCGCCUCGCAUAGUCUCGCGACAUUCCGAGUCCGGCGGAUGAAGUGGGCCAGCCCUACCCCCCAAGGCUAUAGCCCACACGUUUUUGUGGCCUUUUUCCGCUGGACAAACUCGGUGCCCCGGCCUUCGGGUGGUUAGUUUUGGGCGCGGCUGUGCCCGCGACCUAUUUUUGGUACACGGAGGCGCCUCACAAUGUCUCGCGCCAGUCCGAGUCUGGCGGACGAAGUAGGCCGGGCCCACCCCCCAAGGCUAUAGCCCACCCGUUUUUGUGGCAUUUUUCCGCUGGACGAACUUGGCGCCCCCGCCUUCGGGCGGUUAUUUUUGGUCGCGGCUGUGCCCGCGGCCUAUUUUUGGCACACGGAGGCACCUCGCAAAGUCUCGCACCAUUCCGAGUCCGGCGGACGAAGUUGGCCAGCCCCACCCCCCAAGGCUAUUGCCCACCCGUUUUUGUGGCCUUUUUCCGCUGGACGAACUUGGCGCCCCGGCUUUCGGGCAGUUAUUUUUGGCUACGGCUGUGCCCGAGGCCUAUUUUUGGCACACGGAGGUGCCUAACAAAGACUCGCGCCAUACCGAGUCCGGUAGACGAAGUUGGCCAGCCCCACCCGCCAAGGCUAUAGCCCACCCGUUUUUGUGGGCUUUUUCCGCUGGACCAACUUGGCGCCCCGGCCUUCGGGCGGUUAUUUUUGGGCGCGGCUGUUCCCGCGGCCACUUUUUGUCACACCGAGGUGCCUUGCAUAGUCUCGUACCAUUCCUAGUCCGGCGGAGGAUGUCGGCCAGCCCCACCCCCCAAGGCUAGAGCCCACCCGUUUUGGUGGCCUUUUUCCGCUGGACGAACUUGGCUAACCGGCCUUCGGGCGGUUAUUUUUGGGCGCGGCUUUGUCCGCGGCCUAUUUUUGGCACACGCAGGCCCCUCGCAAAGUCUCGUGGCAUUCUGAGUCCGGCGGACGAAGUUGGCCAGCCCCACCCCCCAAGGCUAUAGCCCACCCGUUUUUGUGGCCUUUUUCCGCUGGACUAACUUGGCGCCCCGGCCUUCGGGUGGUUAUUUUUGGGCACGGCUUUGCCCGCGGCCUAUUUUUGGCACAUGGAGGCCCCUCGCAAAGUCUCACGGCAUUCCGAGUCCGGCGGACGAACUUAGCGCCCCGGCCUUCGGGCGGUUAUUUUUGGGCGUGGCUUUGCCCGCGGCCUAUUUUUGGCACACGGACGCCCCUCGCAAAGACUCGCAGCAUUCCGUGUCCGGCGGAUGAAGUUGGCCAGCCCCACCCCCCAAGGCUAUAGCCCACCCGUUUUUGUGGCCUUUUUCCGCUGGACUAACUUGGCGCCCCGGCCUUCGGGUUGUUAUGUUUGGGCGCGGCUUUGCCCGCGGCCUAUUUUUGGCACACGGAGGCCCCUCGCAAAGGCUCGCGGCAUUCCGUGUCCGGCGGAUGAAGUUGGCCAGCCCCACCCCCCAAGGCUAUAGCCCACCCGUUUUUGUGGCCUUUUUCCGCUGUACGAACUUGGCGCCCCGGCCUUCAGGCGGUUAUUUGUGGGCACGGCUGUUCCCGCGGCCACUUUUUGUCACACCGAGGUGCCUUGCAUAGUCUCGCACCAUUCCGAGUCCGGCGGAGGAUGUCGGCCAGCCCCACCCCCCAAGGCUAGAGCCCACCCGUUUUGGUGGCCUUUUUCCGCUGGACGAACUUGGCUAACCGGCCUUCGGGCGGUUGUUUUUGGGCACAGCUGUCCCCGCGGCCACUUUUGGCACACGGAGGUGCCUCGCAAAGUCUCGCGCCAUUCCGAGUCCGGCGGACGAAGUUGGCCAGCCCCACCCCCCAAGGCUAUUGCCCACCCGUUUUUGUGGCAUUUUUCCGCUGGACGAACUUGGCGCCCCGGCCUUCGGGCGGUUCUUUUUGGGUACGGCUGUGCCCGCGGCCUAUUUUUGGCACACGGAGGCUCCUCGCAAAGUCUCGCGGCAUUCCGUGUCCGGCGGACGAACUUAGCGCCCCGGCCUUCGGGCGGUUAUUUUUGGGCGUGGCUUUGCCCGCGGCCUAUUUUUGGCACACGAAGGCCCCUCGCAAAGGCUCGCGGCAUUCCGUGUCCAGCGGAUGAAGUUGGCCAGCCCCACCCCCCAAGGCUAUAGCCCACCCGUUUUUGUGGCCUUUUUCCGCUGGACGAACUUGGCGCCCCGGCCUUCGGGUGGUUAUUUGUGGGCACGGCUUUGCCCGCGGCGUAUUUUUGGCACAAGGAGGCCCCUCGCAAAGUCUCGCAGCAUUCCGAGUCCGGCGGACGAACUUGGCGCACCGGCCUUCGGGCGGCUAUUUUUGGGCGCGGCUUUGUCCGCGGCCUAUUUUUGGCACACGGAGGCCCCUCGCAAAGUCUCGCGGCAUUCCGUGUCCGGCGGACGAACUUAGCGCCCCGGCCUUCGGGCGGUUAUUUUUGGGCGUGGCUUUGCCCGCGGCCUAUUUUUGGCACACGGAGGCCCCUCGCAAAGGCUCGCGGCAUUCCGUGUCCGGCGGAUGAAGUUGGCCAGCCCCACCCCCCAAGGCUAUAGCCCACCCGUUUUUGUGGCCUUUUUCCGCUGGCUAACUUGGCGCCCCGGCCUUCGGGUUGUUAUUUUUGGGCGCGGCUUUGCCCGCGGCCUAUUUUUGGCACACGGAGGCCCCUCGCAAAGUCUCGUGGCAUUCUGAGUCCGGCGGACGAAGUUGGCCAGCCCCACCCACCAAGGCUAUAGCCCACCCGUUUUUGUGGCCUUUUUCCGCUGGACUAACUUGGUGCCCCGGCCUUUGGGCGGUUAUUUUUGGGCGCGGCUUUGUCCGCGGCCUAUUUUUGGCACACGCAGGCCCCUCGCAAAGUCUCGUGGCAUUCUGAGUCCGGCGGACGAAGUUGGCCAGCCCCACCCCCCAAGGCUAUAGCCCACCCGUUUUUGUGGCCUUUUUCCGCUGGACUAACUUGGCGCCCCGGCCUUCGGGUGGUUAUUUUUGGGCACGGCUUUGCCCGCGGCCUAUUUUUGGCACAUGGAGGCCCCUCGCAAAGUCUCACGGCAUUCCGAGUCCGGCGGACGAACUUAGCGCCCCGGCCUUCGGGCGGUUAUUUUUGGGCGUGGCUUUGCCCGCGGCCUAUUUUUGGCACACGGACGCCCCUCGCAAAGACUCGCAGCAUUCCGUGUCCGGCGGAUGAAGUUGGCCAGCCCCACCCCCCAAGGCUAUAGCCCACCCGUUUUUGUGGCCUUUUUCCGCUGGACUAACUUGGCGCCCCGGCCUUCGGGUUGUUAUUUUUGGGCGCGGCUUUGCCCGCGGCCUAUUUUUGGCACACGGAAGCCCCUCGCAAAGUUUCGCGGCAUUCCAAGUCCGGCGGAAGAAGUUGGCUAGCCCCACCCCCCAAGGCUAUAGCCCAUCCGCUUUUGUGGCCUUUUUCCGCUGGACGAACUUGGCGCCCUGGGCUUCGGGCGGUUAUUUUUGGGUGUGGCUUUGCCCGCAGCCUAUUUUUGGCACACGGACGCCCCUCGCAAAGUCUCGCGGCAUUCUGAGUCCGGCGGACGAAGUUGGCCAGCCCCACCCCCCAAGGCUAUAGCCCACCCGUUUUUGUGGCCUUUUUCCGCUGGACGAACUUGGCGCCCCGGCCUUCGGGCGGUUAUUUUUGGGAACGGCUUUGCCCGCGGCCUAUUUUUGGCACAUGGAGGCCCCUCGCAAAGUCUCGCGGCAUUCCGAGUCCGGCGGACGAACUUGGCUGUCCGGCCUUCGGGCGGUUAUUUUUGGGCACGGCUUUGCCCGCGGCCUAUUUUUGGCACACGGAGGCACCUCGCAAAGUCUCGCGGCAUUCUGUGUCCGGCGGAUGAAGUUGGCCAGCCCCACCCCCCAAGGCUAUAGCCCACCCGUUUUUGUGGCCUUUUUCCGCUGGACGAACUUGGCGCCCCGGCCUUCGGGCUGUUAUUUUUGGACGUGGCUUUGCCCGCAGCCUAUUUUUGGCACACGGAGGCCCCUCGCAAAGUCUCGCGGCAUUCCGAGUCCGGCGGACGAAGUUGGCCAGCCCCACCCCCCAAGGCUAUAGCGCACCCGUUUUUAUGGCCUUUUUCCGCUGGUCGAACUUGGCGCCCCGGCCUUCGGGCUGUUAUUUUUGGACGUGGCUUUGCCCGCGGCCUAUUUUUGGCACACGGAGGCCCCUCGCAAAGUCUCGCCGCACUCCAAGCCCGGCGGUCGAAGUUGGCCAGCCCCACCCCCCAAGGCUAUAGCCCACCCGUUUUUAUGGCCUUUUCCCGCUGGACGAACUUGGCGCCCCGGCCUUCGGGCGGUUAUUUUUGGUCGCGGCUUUGCCUGCGUCCUAUUUUUGGCACAUGGAGGCCCCUCGCAAAGUCUCACGGAAUUCCGAGUCCGGCGGACGAAGUGGGCCAGCCCCACCCCCCAAGGCUAUAGCCCACCCGCUUUUGUGGCCUUUUUUCGCUGGACGAACUUGGCGCCCCGGCCUUCGUGCGGUUAUUUUUGGGCGCGGCUUUGUCCGCGGCCUAUUUUUGGAGCACGGAGGCCCCUCGCAAAGUCUUGCGGCAUUCCUAGUCCGGCGGACGAAGUUGGCCAGCCCCACCCCCCAAGGCUAUAGCCCACCCGUUUUUGUGGCCUUUUUCCACUGGACGAACUUGGCGCCCCGGCCUUCGGGCGGUUAUUUUUGGGCAUGGCUUUGCCCGCGGCCUAUUUUUGGCACACGGAGGCCCCUCGCAAAGUCUCGCGGCAUUCCGAGUCCGGCAGACGAAGUUGGCCAGUCCCACCCUCCAAGGCUAUAGCCCAUCCGUUUUUGUUGCCUUUUUCCGCAGGACGAACUUGGCGCCCCGGCCUUCGGUGGUUUAUUUUUGGGCGCAUCUUUGCCCAUGGCCUAUCUUUGGCACACGGAGGCCCCUCGCAAAGUCUCGCCGCACUCCAAGCCCGGCGGUCGAAGUUGGCCAGCCCCACCCCCCAAGGCUAUAGCCCACCCGUUUUUAUGGCCUUUUCCCGCUGGACGAACUUGGCGCCCCGGCCUUCGGGCGGUUAUUUUUGGUCGCGGCUUUGCCUGCGUCCUAUUUUUGGCACAUGGAGGCCCCUCGCAAAGUCUCACGGAAUUCCGAGUCCGGCGGACGAAGUGGGCCAGCCCCACCCCCCAAGGCUAUAGCCCACCCGCUUUUGUGGCCUUUUUUCGCUGGACGAACUUGGCGCCCCGGCCUUCGUGCGGUUAUUCUUGGGCGCGGCUUUGUCCGCGGCCUAUUUUUGGAGCACGGAGGCCCCUCGCAAAGUCUUGCGGCAUUCCUAGUCCGGCGGACGAAGUUGGCCAGCCCCACCCCCGAAGGCUAUAGCCCACCCGUUUUUCUGGAUUUUUUCCGCUGGACGAACUUGGCGCCCCGGCCGUCGGGCGGUUAUUUUUGGGCGCGGCUUUGUCCACGGCCUAUUUUUGGCACACGGAGGCCCCUCGCAAAGUCUCGCGGCACUCCAAGUCCGGCGGACGAAGUUGGCCAGCCCCACCCCCCAAGGCUAUAGCCCACCCGUUUUGUGGCCUUUUUCCGCUGGACUAACUUGGCGCCCCGGCCUUUGGGCAGUUAUUU